AGGAUAAACGCUGGCGGCGUGCCUAACGCAUGCAAGUCGAACGAUGCCUUCGGGCAUAGUGGCGGACGGGUGGGUAACACGUAGGAACCUGCCCGGAAGUGGGGGACAACUCCGCGAAAGCGGGGGCUAAUACCGCAUACGGUCUACGGACCAAAGCCUUCGGGCGCUUUCGGAGGGGCCUGCGGCGGAUUAGCUAGUUGGUGGGGUAACGGCCUACCAAGGCGACGAUCCGUAGCUGGUCUGAGAGGAUGAUCAGCCACACUGGGACUGAGACACGGCCCAGACUCCUACGGGAGGCAGCAGCGAGGAAUUUUCCGCAAUGGGCGAAAGCCUGACGGAGCAACGCCGCGUGGGGGAAGAAGGCCUUCGGGUUGUAAACCCUGUUGCGAGGGAAGAAGAUCUGACGGUACCUCGCGAGUAAGCCACGGCUAACUACGUGCCAGCAGCCGC
rnacentral:rRNA from 1 species